GCCAGAGUGUUGUAGUGGUUUGAGUGUUGGACUAUGACUCUGGAGACCGGAGUUUGAAUCCCAGCUCUGGCA
rnacentral:tRNA from 1 species